rnacentral:rRNA from 1 species
GACGAACGCUGGCGGCGUGCUUAACACAUGCAAGUCGAACGGUGAAGCGCCUUCCUUUUUGGUGGGUGUGGAUGAGUGGCGAACGGGUGAGUAACACGUGAGUAACCUGCCCCCUUCUUCUGGAUAACCGCAUGAAAGUGUGGCUAAUACGGGAUAUUCUGGGUCUGUCGCAUGAUGGGUCUGGGAAAGAUAUUGUUUCGGUGGGGGAUGGGCUCGCGGCCUAUCAGCUUGUUGGUGGGGUGAUGGCCUACCAAGGCGGUGACGGGUAGCCGGCCUGAGAGGGUGGACGGUCACACUGGGACUGAGACACGGCCCAGACUCCUACGGGAGGCAGCAGUGGGGAAUAUUGCACAAUGGGGGGAAGCCUGAUGCAGCGACGCCGCGUGAGGGAUGGAGGCCUUCGGGUUGUGAACCUCUUUCGCCAGUGAAGCAGGCCUGCCUCGUUUGUGGGUGGGUUGACGGUAGCUGGAUAAGAAGCGCCGGCUAACUACGUG